rnacentral:rRNA from 1 species
GGCAAGCUUGACUUGGUCGGCCAAAAGCCGUACUGAGCGAGCUUGCCUUACCUUCUGGGUCACUUGGGUGCUCUUAACUGAGUGCCCAAGCUGUCCAGGACCUUUACCUUGAAAAAAUUAGAGUGUUUAAGGCAGGCUUACGCUUGAAUACAUUAGCAUGGAAUAAUAGAAUAGGACUUUGGUUCUAUUUUGUUGGUUUGAGGGCCAGAGUA